GCUGGGUGUGGUGGCACACACCUGUAGUCCUAGCUACUCGAGAGGCUGAAGCAGGAGGAUUGCUUGAGCCCAGGAAUUCUGGGCUGUACUGUGUUAUGCCAAUUGGGUGUUCACACUAAGUUCGACAUCAGUAUGGUGACCUCUUGAAAGGAGGCAACACCAGGUUAUCUAAGGAGGGGUAAACCGGCCCAGCUCAGAAACAAAGCAGAUCAAAACUCUCAUGCUGAUCAGCAGCAGGAUAGCAUCUGUGAAUAGGCACUGCACUCCAGCCUGGGCAAUAUAGUGAAACCUCAUCUCAA
rfam:Nomascus leucogenys chromosome 21, whole genome shotgun sequence.